GUAAAUCAUAAUCUCGCCUAAUUAAUACUAAUCAUGGGAUAAUGGACAAUUAUCAUCACCAAUAAAUGUGAUUAUUGACUAACAAACUAAAAUACUAUGCAAUUGACUCGAUCAAUCUUUAACUACCAUAACGGACUCCUAAAUCUUAAGAACAAUCUUUGACCAGAGUUUUGAAGCAUAUUAUUCAACAUACUCCUUUGCUUCAAAACUACAAACAACAAGUCUCUGUCGAAAAUAAAUAAGCUUGUCAAUGGGAAGAGCCUUAGUAAGAACAUCAGUAACUUGGCUAUUUAUUAGAUAGAAUUUCAACUCAAUUUCUUGCUUUGUAGUCGGGCUGCGAAUGUAGUGAUAGCGAAUAUCAAUGUGCUUUGUCCUACUGUGAAAAGCUGGAUUUAUUGUCAUUGCAAUUGUGGCCUUGUUGUCACAGAAUAUUGUUGUGGCUCCCUUUUCCUCUUGAUGAACAUCUACCAGCAAUCUUCAUAACCAAACUGCUUGACAUGCUGCAGAUAUCACAACAACAUACUCUGCUUUCGAUGAUGACAGUGCCACCACAUCUUGCUUCUUUGAACUCCAAGAUAUUGCACCUGACCCCAAAUUAAAAACAUGACUUGAAGUACUUUUCCUAUCAUCUAUACAGCCAGCUCAAUCGCUGUCACUAUACCCAAGUAGACUGACAUUUCCAUUCUUUGAGUACCAUAUGCCAAAAUCUUCAGUUUCGACAAUGUUGUAUCAUAGUACCCUUUCUGCUGCUCCAAGAUGUUGUCUUGUGGGAGAGUGCAUGUACCUUGAUAGCACACUCACCAAGUACAUGAUGUCUGGCCGAGUAUGAGUUAAAUAAUUCAAUCUGCCAAUUAAGCUUCCGUAAUAACUUGGAUCAACAGCACCUGUACCAUCCUCAAGCUGUAACUUCUCAUUAACAUUCAUUGGUGUAGCUGCUUCUUUACAGUUGUGCAUAUAAAAUCUGUAUAGAAUAUUUUUUGCAUACUUUCUCUGUGAAAGAAAUAUGCCAUCUUCCACUUGAUUUACUUCAAGUCCAAGAAAAUAUUGCAACUUUCCUAAAUCUGACAUUUCAAACUCCCCCAUCAUGCAUGAUUUGAACUCAGCAAUUAAAGUUUCAGAAGACCCCAAAUAAAUCAUGUCAUCUACAUAAAUACAGACAACUACAAAAUCACCAUUAUCAUGCUUUUUCACAUACAAAGUUGGCUCAUUUCAUUCUUUACAAAAUCAAUUUUUAGAAAAUAUGAGUCAAUCCUUUUAUACCAUGCCCUUGGUGCUUGUUUCAAUCCAUAAAGUGCUUUCUUAAGUAUAUAGACUUUGCUUUCUUGACCACUAACUACAAACCCCUCAGGUUAUGUCAUAUAAAUCUCUUCUUCCGACUCUCCAUUCAAAAAUGCAUAUUUAACAUCAAAUUGAUAAAUAGUCAAAUUCAAUUUAGCACCCAAAGAUAAAUGCACUGUCACUGUUUCAAAACGAGUAAUAGGAGAAAAAGUUUCAUUAAAGUCAACACCUUGAUGUUGUUGAUAGCGGUUGUCGAAACCGUAAAAAAUAAACCUAUUAAACAAUCAACAAUUAAUUUGCAGAUAGUGACAAUAGGGUCGAACCACAGGGAAUUGACACCGAAUAUUUUCCUAAUAAUGACUAAGGUAAAUAAAUAACAAAUAAUUAAAAGAGGGGGGUUUUGAUGAUAAUGAAUUAAAAUUAAAUAGCAAAAGAAAGCAAUAAUUUAAAUAGAUGAGAAGUUCAAUGGGAAAGAGAUUCUAGUUGAAGUAUGAGUCUAUUUCAGCUUGUUUAGAAUUGAUCAUUGAUUAUUUAAGACUCAUAUUUUAUUUCAAUAAAUUAUUUUUGGUUGUGGAAGACGCUUCUCACAACCAAAUUCCUCCUUAGUUCUAGUUUGAUUAGGAAACGUUCGCUAAUCAAACACUAAUCAACAAGUUGCCAAGGAACGUCCUUGGGGCAUUUAGCAUCGAACAACUGUUGACUGCAUUAAGACUUAGAGAAACCCAAUUCUAUCCUUGCCAACCGCGUGGUCAAGUCUAGAUUAUGCAACUGAUUAUAUUUAUGUUCAAAUAAUAUAAGCAGUUACGGACUUAAAUCAUUCAAACAAUUUAUUACUUAAGCAAUUUAAAAGCAAUGGGCCCUUAUUGAUUCUAAAAGCAAAGUAACAAUUAUAGAAAAAAUCAAGUUGCAUAAAUAUUGAAAGCAAAAUAAGAGUUUAACAAUGGAGUUUUAAAUCUCCCAAUUCAUCACAAAUCUGAAUUUCCUCAACUUCAACUAAAAAAGAAGGAAAUUAGCCACUCAUGGUGGGCAAAAUACACAAAAGAAAGAAGAGAGGAAGAGAAGAAGAGACUGCUGCAAUUCUCCUGCUGAAUUCUGUAGAUUUCCAAAGGUGGGAGAGGAUGCCUUUGCUGGUUUGGAGGCUGCCUUCUUAUAGCUGGAGAGUCCAAGUUCAAUUAAGGUUUGGAAUCCCUAUUUUGACUUGGUCUUUGUGGUCUUUGAUUCCUCUUUCUCUUCUUGUAUUUUGUUGUAGAUGGAAUUCUCUUGGUAGAAGGACAUCCUUGUGGCUUUUGGAUUUGAGCUGGCAGUGUUUGAAGUGUUUUUGGGCUUCUAUUCUUUUUAAAUCUGAUUUUUUUUCUUUUUCCCGCUCUGCUGUCAAUUUUUGUUGUCAAUGUGAUUGGGACGAGUGAUUUGGGCAAAUCACUUGCCCCAAUCGCUUUCUGUGAGUCAGUCCAGUUUUUCUAUCUCUGCAAGUGAUUUGGCCAGUCUCUGCGAGUGAUUUGGCCAAAUCACUCUGACCCAAUCACUUUUCCAGCCUUUUCUGCACUUUUUCUCCAAUUUUUCAAUUUCUUCCUUUUCUGUAAAAAUAAGAUAAAAAACCAUAAAUUAAGCUGAAAAAUGUGUAAAUAAGCAAUGACAAAGAUAAUAAAAAUGUGGCUAAUUUAUGUUUGAUCAAAUACCCCCACACCUAGCUUUUUGCUUGUCCUCAAGCAACAAACAACUUAGUCAAUCAAGCCCCUUUUUCUUUUGAGCCUAAGUACCACUUAAUCAGCCCCCCUAUACUCCUAAAUUGAAGUAUUACAGUGUAGAGUACAUGCACCAAGGUUGUUCUUCUCUUUUCCUUGAUUCCCCUCACCUACUAUGGUCAAGGGAAAGAUUUUUGAUUCAAUCAUGCUUAUUCUCUUUGUAUAAGCUCAAUGCAACCUCUAAGAGUGACUUGCCCUUCCUUGAGCAUUUUAUUUUAUUCAGCAGAACUUUUUUAUUCUUACCUGAAAAAGUCACUAACAUUUUUACGCGAAGGUGCAUAUUGGUGAUACCCACCCCCGAUUACUCAGUUAGUCACUUGUUCAAGUGGCUACUAGCUCUGUUCAUAGCUUAUUUGACCAUAAGAAUAGGUUUUAUGAUUUGUGCUGGUUUUUUCUUUUUCUUUUCUUUUCAUAAUGGUUUGGGCAAAUCAACUCAUAGGGAGUUACACUAACUUUUUAUUUGCAUGCAUUUAUAUUUUUAUUUCCUUGACCACAGCAAAUUUAGAGAUUUAAUUCAAGAAAAGAACUUCCUAAGUGAAGGUAGCAUACUGUAAUUGAUUCAAUUUAGACUUAAAGGGGUGGAAAAUCAAUGGGGUCAUGAGAUAGGAAGCUCUUUUAACCUUGUUAUCUAUGCUGAGUAGAGCAAAAGCUAAGACAAAAUUCUGUGUGUGUGCAGAAAGUGAAAAAUGUGUGCAAAGGGAAAAAAAAUCUAGUGUGUGUUAUAGGGUAAAAAGAUGCAAAAAGACACAAAAAGAAACAAAAAGAAAGCGAAAGAUAUUGCAAAAAUAAGCAAAAGUAAUCCAACAGUACCCCCACACCUAUCCCAAAUAUUGUCCUCAAUGUUUGAACAUAUAUAUAGAAAAAUUAAGGAGGAAAGGGAAAGGGACUUCCUGGCCUGUGGGUGAUUUGGCCAGGUGAUUUGGGCAAAUCACUAGGCCAAAUCACUGUCUCUGCUGAUCUGUGGGCAGGAAAUGAUCUACCAGUAGUUGCAACAGGAGCUCCAUGUUGUGCAUUCUGGUCUCAAUUUUGCUGAGACGUGCCUCUACUGUUUGGUUUAGGGCUGCGUCUUCAGGGUCUUGAUGUGCUUCCUGCUGUGGUGCCACAGCAGGUGAUUCAUUUGCUGGAGGUGCCUGCUCUGUUUCCCCUGCUGUCCCAUCUGCUGGGGCAGGCUGUGCCUUCUUCUUUCGGAAUACACGCUCAUGGCGUGGUGUGAGAGGUCCUGCAGGCGAAAGAGAAAAAAUGUCCCCCACUUUGCAAAGCAACCCUAUAUCAUCUAAAGAUCGAAGGUCCAGGGGGGUUGGCUUGUUAGUGGGGGUGAGAUCAGUAUGGGCAGGGUGUAAAAGUUUCAGGUUCACUGCAAUGGCAGUGAUCAAGUGCCCAAGGAUCAGGGGGCGGUGGUACUGGAUAAUGCUGGAUAUUUGGGUUGCAACCCAAUAACCAAAGUGUAGUUUCUGGUGGUGGUGCAUGCACCACAGUAUGUACAGCUCCGUUCUGGUCAGGAUGUUGGGUGCAUCCUUCCUCCCAGAAAAUAUGUAGGCCAGAAACCUGUGAAUGUAUUUCAGGCUUGGAUUUUUGAGAUACAGGUCCUUAGACCUGGUGGGUGAGUAAGAAUCAGGGGGGUUAUCACACAAUUCCAGAUAGGCAGUGCUGGGAUUGAAUUCUGCAGAAAAAUCCCAGGAAGAGUCAGGGCAUUCACAGCUCGUGGCAGUGCCAAACUCUUGUAGGGAUAAGCGAAAUCGCUAUCCCAAUAGCCUGAAUCCAAUGAUGUCUGGUGUGUGCAGGUUGUGCAUGGCUGGUUUAUCAAAAUAAAAAGUAGUGAAGAACUCAUGUGUGAGUUCAGUGAAGGAUGGAAAGUGGAGGAAGAAGAAUUUGUCCCAACCAAUGGCAGAGAUUAAGGUACGUACCUGGCGUUGGAGUCUCAGUUCUUCAAGAGUGCCAAGGUGAAUGUACUUACCUGUGUGGUAGGAUGUAGAGGAAACUCUGUCUAGCCUGGCCCUUUCGGACGCCUUGUUGAACGUCAGGGUCUGAGUGAUGUGAUCAGGGUGGGUCGGUUUGGGCAAAUCGCUAGGCAAUUCGCCAUUUUCUUGGCUUACAGGCGGUGUGGCACUGGGUGUCUCUUGUUGUCGCUCCGGGCUUGGUGAUGGUGGUGGUGAUGGUGUUCUUGGCCGUUUCUGGCCAUGACUGGUGGAAUAAGUUUCUUCUUCAGGCGUUUCGCCUUCCUGGGUGUCUGUCGCGACUGAUGGUGAGGAAGGUGGUGGUGCAAUCAACGACGCCUUGGUCCGACGGCGAUAGGUCUGGGGUGUUGGACUGACGGUGUUUCUUGCUUCGUCGGCCGCUUCAGUGUCGGCGUCGUUGGGGACGGGUGGUGGGUUUUCCAUUGCUUCUUCAUCGCUGUUAGUGGGAAUACGGAUGGGCCUAGGCAUCCCACGUCGCCUUCACAUUCCGAGGCCGCCGGUAACCAUCAUCUUGCUUCUUACCAUGGUGCUUUGCUGUCGCUGGUGGUCGUCGGUGAGGGAAGACUUGAAAGAGAAGGAGGAGAUGAAACAGAAAGAGAUAGCAUGAAAAGGAAGAAAAUAAAAUAAAAAUUAUUUAAAGUGAUUUGGGGUAGUUGAACUGCCCUGAUCAUUAAAUGCUGAGUCUCUGAUUUCUUGACAGGGUGAUUUGGUCAGUGAUUUGGGCAAAUCACUUGGCCAAAUCACUUUCUUCCUUGCUGUUGCAUGGCUGGUACUGUUCACACCUUUUGCUAUUGGUAGGCGGAGUUGUUGAUUGGGCCUGACGAUUUGGUCAAAUCACCUGGGCAAAUCACUUCUUUGGUGCAACUGCCUGGUUUGAUCUUGUUCUUACUGGGGUGAACCCUGUCGAUUUGGGUUGUCGAUUUGGGCAAAUCACUUGCCCCAAUUACUUGUGACUAUGGUGUAUGCAGGCAAUUUGCCCCAGACUGGGCUGUGAUUUGGGCAGAUCGCUUCAGCUGGGUUGCCUCCCAGUAACGCCCUGUUUUCUGUCUUGGGCUGGACUUCCUUGAGUUGAUCAGCAGUCUAGGGAAGGGGGAUCCAAGGGGAUCUCUUUCACAAGAUGAACAGUAAAUCCUUCAUAAAAUUUCUUUAAACAAUGUCCAUUAACUUUGAAAAUUUUGCUUGUUUGUGGACUCCAUAUGUCAACAGCCCCAUGUGGAUAGACAUGCUCAACCACAAAUGGCCCAAUCCACCUAGACCGAAGCUUCCCAGGAAAUAAUUUGAACCUUGAAUCAAAAAGCAAAACCUUAUCACCAACCUGGAAGUGUUUUCUGGAGAUAUUUUUGUCAUGGAAGGCUUUGGUUUUUGCUUUGUAAUUCCAUGAAGCUUCAUAUGCAUCACGCCGGAUCUCCUCAAGGCAAUUUUCUGUUGGCUCCAGCUUCUUUCUCAUCAAGAUUGCAGCUCUUCACAGCCCAAUAGGCUUUGUGUUCAAGUUCUACAGGUAGAUGGCAAGCUUUCCCAUAAAUCAGCCUGUAUGGAGACAUCCUAAUUGGAGUUUUAUAUGCUGUUCUAUAUGCCCAUAAGGCAUCACUGAGGCGCACACUCCAGUCUUUGUGAUUUGGGCAGACUGUUUUCUCCAAGAUGGACUUGAUCUCCCUAUUUGACACUUCGGCCAGCCCAUUUAUUUGAGGAUGAUAGGCAGUAGAGGUUCUGUGGAUGACAUGGUGCUUCUUGAGGAGAGUUUCUACUACCUUGUUGCAAAAAUGGGUGCCUCAGUCACUGAUAAUGGCUUUGGGCAGACCGAAUCUUGAGAAUAUUUGGGAUUUCACAAAGUCACAAACUGUUUUUGCAUCAUCAGCCCUUGUUGCCUUGGCCUCAAUCCACUUGGACACAUAGUCCACGGCUAGAAGUAUGUAGGUGUUGCCAAAGGAAGGUGGGAAUGGCCCCAUGAAGUCAAUGCCCCAAAUAUCAAAGAUUUCACACACCAUGAUGGGUGCUUGUGGCAUUUCACUUCGGUUGCCAAGGUUUCCCGUUUGUUGGCAUCUUGCACAUGACCUACAAAAUAAAUAGGAAUUUCUAAAUAUGUUAGGCCAAAAUAACCCACUUUCAAGAAUUUUCAAGGUUGUCUUGCGUGGCCCAAAGUGUCCUCCACAGCCAUAUGAGUGGCAGAAGGCUAGGACAGAAUGUGUUUCUUGAUCCGGGAUGCAUCUCCUUAUGACUUGGUCUGCACAAUGCUUCCAUAGGUAAGGCUCAUCCUACACAUAAUACCUUGCAUCUUUCUUGAUCUUGUCUCUCAAGUGUUUGGGCAAAUCAGUAGGCAAAUCACCUGUGGCAAGGAAAUUAACAAUAUCAGCAUACCAUGGUUCCUCUUCUUGGACAGCAAAGAAGUGCUCAUCAGGGAAUUUUUCAUUGAUGGGGCAUGUCUCCAUCUCGGUCAGAAUUCUGCUGAGGUGAUCAGCUACAAGGUUCUCCUUUCCCUUCUUGUCAUGGAUCUCUAAGUCGAACUCUUGCAACAGCAAUAUCCAUCAUACCAGCCUUGGUUUGGACUCCUUUUUUCUUGAUUAAAUAUCUCAAUGCAGCAUGGUCUGAAUAAAUAAUCACCUUUGUCCCAAGUAGAUAGAACCAAAAUUUCUCCAAUGAAAACACAACAGCCAGCAAUUCUUUUUUCGUGGUUGAAUAAUUGCAUUGUGCAGCAUCUAGGGUGCGUGAGGCAUAGUGAACGACAUGAGGAGAGUUACCUUUUCGCUGUCCCAACACUGCACCCACAGCAAAAUUGUUGGCGUCACACAUGAUCUCAAAUGGCAAGGUCCAAUCAGGUGGCUGGAUGACUGGGGCAGUAACCAGCAGUGAUUUGACUAAAUCAAAAGCUGUUUUGCAGCUGUCAUCAAACUCGAAUGACACAUCCUGCUGUAAUAAUCUGCAUAAAGGCUGGGUUAUUUUGGAGAAAUCUUUAAUAAACCUCCUAUAAAAACUAGCAUGGCCAAGAAAAGAUCUAAUCUCCCUAAUGCUGGUUGGAUAGGGCAGAUUUUUGAUGGUGUCAAUUUUAGCUUUGUCCACCUCAAUCCCUUUUGCUGAAACAAUAUGGCCCAAGAUUAAGCCAUGGCUGACCAUGAAGUGGCAUUUCUCGUAGUUGAGAACUAGAUUUGACUCCAAGCAUUUUUGAAGUAUUUUUUUCAAGUUGGCUAGGCAUUCAUUGAAUGAGUUGCCAUAUACCGUGAAAUCGUCCAUGAAGACUUCAAUAAUCUUCUUCACAUAGUCAGAAAAAAUGCUCAUCAUGCACCUUUGGAAGGUAGCUGGUGCAUUGCAAAGACCGAAGGGCAUCCUUCUAAAUGCGAAGGUGCUAAAUGGGCAUGUGAAAGUGGUCUUCUCUUAAUCUUCAGGUGCAACGGGAAUUUGGUAGAAUCCCGAAUAUCCAUCUAGGAGGCAGUAAUGGCUCUUUCCAGCAAGUCUCUCAAGCAUUUGAUCCAUGAAGGGCAAGGGAAAGUGGUCCUUCCUUGUGGCUGUGUUGAGCUUCCUGUAAUCCAUGCAAACUCUCCACCCAUUUUGUACACGAGUGGAUACCAACUCACCUUCAGAAUUAGGGACAAUGGUAAUCCCAGUCUUCUUUGAUACCACAUGGAUGGGACUCACCCAUUUACUGUCAGAGAUGGGGUAAAUGACUCUAGUGUCUAAGAGUUUCACAAUUUCUUUCUUCACAACCUCCAUCAUUGGUGGGUUCAGCCUUCUUUGAGCCUCACGAACAGGUUUGCACUCAUCCUCCAUGAGUAUCCGAUGCAUGCAUGUUGAGGGUGAUAUGCCUUUGAUGUCCUCCAAGGUCCACCCAAUUGCCUUCUUGUGUUUUCUCAACACCUCAAGGAGCUUUUCUUCUUCUUUUGGGCUGAGCUGGUUGGAAAUUAUAACUGUAAGUGUAUUUUCAGCUCCCAAGAAGGCAUAUUUGAGGUGUUCUGGUAAGGGCUUCAAAUCUGGUGCAUUUGCUGUCUUAUCUGCAGAUUGUUGCUGGUUUGCUGAUUUGGGCAGAUUGCUUGCUGUCUGUUUGGGUGGUCUGGCCAAAUCACCUUCUGUCAUGUCUGUCUGUCGUAGUGAUUUGGGCAAAUCAUCCGUUAUUGAUUCUGGUGAUGUGGUCAAAUUUAGCUCGGCCUUGUCUGUCUAUUCCAGUGAUUUGGCCAAAUCAGAUUCUGUUUGUCUAGGUGAUUUGGGCAGAUCAUCUGCCACCAGCAAUGUACAACAGUCUGCUGUCUCCACUGCUUCUGUCAUGGCAUAGCUGCUGUCCACUUCUUCUUUCCUGCAAAGACCAGCAUAGAGUAAGUUUUCUUGAUCAAAAUCAAAAAUUUCUUGACUCAAAUCAUCAAUAAUAUCAAGGCCAUAAACAGGGGAAACAUCAUUGGGGAAUUUCAUGGCAUCAUAAACAUUAAACUUGAUAACUUCCCCUUCAAACUCCAUGGUUAAUGUGCCAUCAUGCACAUCAAUUUUUGUUCUAGCUGCGCUCAAGAAUGGUCUUCCAAGUAGGAUGUCAGAGGUGGUGUUGCUCUUUUCUUCCUCCAUGUCUAUUACAUAAAAAUCUGCUGGGAAGACUAGUUGGUCCACUUGCACCAACACAUCCUCAAGCACUCCCUUGGGGUAGACAACUGAUCGAUCAGCCAAUUGGAUCACAAUGCUGGUGCCCUUGAGUGUACCUUUUCACGUUCAGCAAGUUUCCUUCGGUUGGUGCAUAGCUCUUUGAGAAACUUGGCAUACCUUGGAAUUUGCUUUACAGUAUCAAGUAGGGGAAUGUUGAUUUCUACCUUGCGAAGUGUCUCCAAUAUCUCUUUUUCCUCUUUUUCUUUUUGAGAUCUUGCAAAUCUUUUGGGAAAGGGAGGAGGUACCUUGAAUUUCUCCACUGGUUGUUGUUUCUGCCUUUGACUGAAUUCUGCCUGUUCUGUUGAUUUGAGCAAAUCAAAUUCUGCCUUCUCUGGCGAUUUGGGCAGAUCACUGCUGGGCAGCUCAGUCUGCCUAGUGAUUGGGUCAGUGAUUUGGGCAGAUCAACUGCCCUGAUCACUUUCUGGCAGAUUUUCUUCCAUGGCCUGUUUUUGCAACUUUUCAGCCCUACUGUCUUGCAACUCUUUUUCACUGCUCAAUGUGAUGGCACUAGCAUUUUGCCUUGGAUUUAUCUCAGUUUUGGAUGGUAGCUUCCCUUGUGACUCCAAUUUGCUCAUUGAAGUGACCAUUUGGCUCACUUGUUGCUAAAGAUUUUGCACGGUAUUUGCUAAGGUCUUCACAAUCUCUUCAAGGGGUGCAUUGGACUUUUAAGGUGCAGCUUGAGUUUGAUUCCUCUGCUGGUGGUUUGGAUAUUGAUUGCCCCUUGCAUAACUGAAAUUUGGAUGGUCCCUCCAACCUUGAUUAUAGGUGUUUGUAUAGGGAUCAUAUCUUCUUUGCCCAUUGAAGCCUCCAACAGCAUUGACUUGCUGGUCUUCUUCUUGAAGGGAUGGACAUAGAUCAGUUGGGUGGUUUGUGUUUGCACAUAUCCCACAUGGCCUUGGUUGCUGAAUUUGCAGAUAGCGGUUGUCGAAGCCGUAAAAAAUAAACCUAUUAAACAAUCAACAAUUAACUUGCAGAUAGUGGCAAUAGGGUCGAACCACAGGGAAUUGACACCGAAUAUUUUCCUAAUAAUGACUAAGGCAAAUAAAUAACAAAUAAUUAAAAAAGGGGGGUUUUGAUGAUAAUGAAUUAAAAUUAAAUAGCAAAAGAAAGCAAUAAUUUAAAUAGAUGAGAAGUUCAAUGGGAAAGAGAUUCUAGUUGAAGUAUGAGUCUAUUUCAGCUUGUUUAGAAUUGAUCAUUGAUUAUUUAAGACUCCUAUUUUAUUUCAAUAAAUUAGUCUUGGUUGUGGAAGACGCUUCUCACAACCAAUUCCUCCUUAGUUCUAGUUUGAUUAGGAAACGUUCGCUAAUCAAACACUAAUCAAUAAGUUGCCAAGGAACGUCCUUGGGGCAUUUAGCAUCGAACAACUGUUGACUGCAUUAAGACUUAGAGAAACCCAAUUCUAUCUUUGCCAACCGCGUGGUCAAGUCUAGAUUAUGCAACUGAUUAUAUUUAUGUUCAAAUAAUAUAAGCAGUUACGGACUUAAAUUAUUCAAACAAUUUAUUACUCAAGCAAUUUAAAAGCAAUGGGCCCUUAUUGAUUCUAAAAGCAAAGUAACAAUUAUAGAAAAAAUCAAGUUGCAUAAAUAUUGAAAGCAAAAUAAGAGUUUAACAAUGGAGUUUUAAAUCUCCCAAUUCAUCACAAAUCUGAAUUUCCUCAACUUCAACUAAAAAAGAAGGAAAUUAGCCACUCAUGGUGGGCAAAAUACACAAAAGAAAGAAGAGAGGAAGAGAAGAAGAGACUGCUGCAAUUCUCCUGCUGAAUUCUGUAGAUUUCCAAAGGUGGGAGAGGAUGCCUUUGCUGGUUUGGAGGCUGCCUUCUUAUAGCUGGAGAGUCCAAGUUCAAUUAAGGUUUGGAAUCCCUAUUUUGACUUGGUCUUUGUGGUCUUUGAUUCCUCUUUCUCUUCUUGUAUUUUGUUGUAGAUGGAAUUCUCUUGGUAGAAGGACAUCCUUGUGGCUUUUGGAUUUGAGCUGGCAGUGUUUGAAGUGUUUUUGGGCUUCUAUUCUUUUUAAAUCUGAUUUUUUUUCUUUUUCCCGCUCUGCUGUCAAUUUCUGUUGUCAAUGUGAUUGGGACGGGUGAUUUGGGCAAAUCACUUGCCCCAAUCGCUUUCUGUGAGUCAGUCCAGUUUUUCUAUCACUGCAAGUGAUUUGGCCAGUCUCUGCGAGUGAUUUGGCCAAAUCACUCUGACCCAAUCACUUUUCCAGCCUUUUCUGCACUUUUUCUCCAAUUUUUCAAUUUCUUCCUUUUCUGUAAAAAUAAGAUAAAAAACCAUAAAUUAAGCUGAAAAAUGUGUAAAUAAGCAAUGACAAAGAUAAUAAAAAUGUGGCUAAUUUAUAUUUGAUCAGUUGUGCAUACCCCUUAGCAACGAUUUGAACCUCUUGAUACUUCCAUCUGCAUGAUGCUUUACUUUGUCGACCCAUUUGAGUCCAAUAGGAGCCUUAUCCUCUAGGACAUCAACAAUUCCCAUAUGUUGUUGUGUUUGAUUGCCCUCAUCUCUUCCAUCAUUGUUGCUUCCCAUUCUUCACUAUCAGCUGCCUCAUCAAAACAUGUUAGUUCUGUCACAUACAAGGCAAAAGAGUAGGACUCAUAUACCUCCCUUAAAGACUUGAAUUUAUGAGGUGGUGGUGCUGAAGAAGAUCCUGAAUUUUGUGAAUUGCUGCUGCUACCAUCAGGUGUUGAUGAAGUACUUCUAGCUGGUGUAGCAGGUGAAGUAUUAUUCUCAUUUCCACCAUUUAUUGAAGUCUCUAGUGAUGAAUGUUCUUGUGCAAUUUUGUGGAAAAUUGUUUUUGGUGUGCCUUCUUUCUCCCAUGUCUAGCUUGCUUCUUCAUUGAAUAAAACAUUCCUGCUAAUAAUGACUUUGCCACUCACAGGGUUAUAUAGUUUAUAUGCUUUGAAUUGAACACUAUAAUCCACAAAUAUGCAUUUCACGAAUUUAUCAUCAAGCUUAGAGCGAGAAUUUACCAAAGUAUAUGCUAUACAACCAAAAACACGUAAAUGGCUUACCCUUAGUUGAUUACCUCUCCACACCGCAUAUGGAGUCUGAUUUAGGACAGCCUUUGUAGGAGAAAUAUUCAGAAAAUAUAUGCUGCCAUAGCCACAGCUUUAGCCCAGAACAACUUUGGAAGACCUCUUGAAUUCAACAUGCUUCUUGCCAUCUCAACAAUAGUACGAUUUUUCCUCUUUGCUAUGCCAUUUUGCUGAGGCGUGUCUGUGAAUGUCAUUUUUUUCACAAAGGUGUUAAACUCAUCUGAUACAAAUUCGCUUCCUCGAUCCGUACGAAGUGUUUUAAUUUGACACCCGCUUUGUUUCUCCACAAGUGACUUAAACUUCUUGAAACAAUCAAAAGCUUGGGAUUUAUUUUUUAAGAAAUAAACCCAAUUCAUUCGACUAUAAUCAUCAACAAAUAGCAGAAAAUAUCGACUUCCUCCUAGAGAUUCAGUUGACAUGGGACCACGUACAUCUGCAUGAACAAGCUCUAAACAAGUAGAAGCUCUCUAAGCAUUUGCAACAGGAAAAGAUGGUCUACUUUUUUUUCCAUAUACACACCCUUCACAGAAUUCAACAGCUUCAAUUUUUUAUAAGCCAACAAUCAUAUUUUUCUGACCUAACAAUUGUAGCCCUUUAACGUUCAAAUGACCAUACCGCAAAUGCCAAUACCGCAAAUGCCAUAAAUCAGCCUUUGUGCUACCUUUAACAGUUAGUGCACUACUAACAUCACCAUCAGACACAUUAAGGGGAAACAUUUUAUUUUGAGUCAUUUGGACUCCUACAAUUUUGUGGCUAGAUUUUUUUUAUCAUAAAUGUUGCAGCAAUCAUUCUCAAAUAAAAUAGAAUAUCCUCCCUUAAUUAAUUGACCAACACUCAAAAGGUUAUGAGCAAGAGAAGGUACAUACUGAACAUCUUGGAGGAGCUUCAUAUCAUCAUUUGAUGCCGGAAUUGCAAUGGUACCUCUGCCUUCAACUAUGAUUUGCUUAUCAUUUCCGAGCCAUACUUUUGACUUUUGUGACUCAUCAUGCUUCUUGAAAAGUGUUCUUGCUCCAGCCAUAUGGUUUGAACAGCCAUUGUUGAUGAACCACACAACAAUGUCCAUUGGAUCAAUUUUUGAAUGAGCCAUGAACAGCUUGCUUUCCUAUUGUGAAUUCUCAGUGAAAUUCGCUUGCUUUGAUUCAUCUCUCUUUACUCCAACAUUCUGAUUCUUUAUGCCCAUAUUUCUUGCAAUAAUAACACUGUAUAUUGCUUCUAGAUUGCCAACUGCUUCUAUUUUGACCUCGACCUGCAGAUUGACCACGACCUGUGGAUGAACCACGACUUUACUUCCUCCGCGGUCUCGUCCCCUGAAAUUGCCUCUGCCAUACCCUCUAUCUCUUGAUUUCUCAUGUUUCCCUUUAGAGGAAGACUCUCCUUUGACUUGAAGAGCGUUCUCUUUAAUUUUUUCAGAUGGCUUGUUCACCCGUUCUCAAUGUGCGAUCAAGGAACUCAUCAACUCAUCAAAUGUAUAAGUUGAUAAAUCCUUAGAUUAUUCAAUAGCAGUGACAAUAUGGAUGAAUUUGUUGGUAAGACUUCAUAGAACCUUAUUAACGAUUGUUUUAUUAGUGACGACUUCACCAUGUGUUCUUAUAUGACUGACAAUCCCAGAGACCUUUGAUAAGAACCCUUGUAUAGAUUCAUCAUCCUUCAUAGCCAAAUUAGCAAAUUCAGUACGGAGUGUUUAAAGCUUUACAGCAAUUACCUUUUUGUCGCAGAAAAAUUCAGUCUUGAGAAUAUUCCAGGCUUGCUGAGAGGUAGAUGCUGCUGCAAUCCGUGGAAAACCGAUUGGAUGAACAACAAAGCCUUUGAGUUUUUCUUUCGAUUCUCCCGCAAUCUUUAACUGGGUUCCACCAGAAACUUCUACUGGUUCCACAUACCCAUUCUCCAUGAUGUCCUAUAGUUCUUGAGACUUGAACAAAGUUUUCAUUUUCAAACUCUAUAAGUGAUAAUUUUCUUCUUUAAACAAAGGAAUUAAAUGUUAGGAUGAGAUACUUACUCCAUUGUUGGCCAUGAGUAUUUUGUUAACUUUCCCAAAAAUCUAAUUUUUCUAAAGACCUAAUUUUGGCUCUGAUAUCAAUUUUGUUAGAGAAAAACAAAAUAACAAAGAAAAAGAAUUGAGGUAAUACUUGUUUAUUGAUUUGCUGCCAUGGACAAAUACAUCAUGCCUUUUUAUAGGUUGAAGACGAAAACCAAAUUAAGUAAAUUAUAAUCUCGCCUAAUUAACACCAUAACCAUAGGAUAAUGGAUAAUUAUCAUCACAAUAAAUGUGAUUAUUAAAUAACAAACUGAAAUAAUAUACAAUUGACUAAAUCAAUCUUUGAAUACCAUAAAUGACUCCUAAAUCUUAGGAACUAUCUUUGACCAGUUUUGAAGCAUAUUAUUCAAAAGUGGCUGAUCUGCAAGGCACUCACAACUUGAAAUAUAUUGGAGGCUACAUGUUCGAUGAAAUUCCUUCCGAUGCAAUUUUACUCGAGGUAACCUAACCCCUCUCUUUUCAUUGAUGUUGGAGGGAUAGC
rnacentral:lncRNA from 1 species